rnacentral:lncRNA from 1 species
AUAAACCAUGUCGUAGUAUAGUUAAGGCAAUUUUGAUCAAAACGCACCAAAAUGUUAUAGAGUAAACUUUUAUUAGAAUGGCUUAUCUCGAGUUUGAAAUACUUUCCGGCUAACAUCAUAUAACUUACCAAAUGAAAGCCAAUUUGAUUAAGUAGAUUAGUGUUGUUGCAUCGCCAUUACGAACCUUCGGUUUCAUUACCACAAAGUUUCAAAAAAAAUUUGCAAAAUCCAUGAUCUUGCAUAGUACUAUAGUAGUGCAAGAAACAACAACUGCAAAUCAGCCAAAACACUUAACUAAGUGCAUCUGUGAAAGGAUAUGGGAACAAGGGUCAAGGCUAUUGAUUAAAUUUAAAAACAUUAUACAAGUUUGAGAAUAGUCAUUAAGAAUCGUUAUUCAGGAUUUGCAAAAAAUCGUAAACGUGAAUUCAUGCUAAAG